rnacentral:rRNA from 1 species
UCCAGAAUAGCUCUUGGAAACGGGUGGUAAUGCUGGAUGCUCCAACUUGACGCAUGUCUUGUUGGGAAAGUGUUUAGUGGCAUGGGAUGGGGUCGCGUCCUAUCAGCUUGUAGGCGGGGUAAUGGCCCACCUAGGCUUCGACGGGUAGCCGGCCUGAGAGGGCGGACGGCCACAUUGGGACUGAGAUACGGCCCAGACUCCUACGGGAGGCAGCAGGU